rnacentral:rRNA from 1 species
AUUCCAGCUCCAAUAGCGUAUAUUAAAGUUGUUGCAGUUAAAAAGCUCGUAGUUGGAUUUCUGGUGGGAGCGAUCGGUCUGGCGCUUAGCGCGAGUACUUGCAUCGUCUCCGGCCAUCCUUGGGGAGAGUCUGUCUGGCAUUAAGUUGUCGGGCAGAGGAUCCUCAUCGUUUACUGUGAAAAAUUAGAGUGUUCAAAGCAGGCUUAUGCCGUUGAAUAUAUUAGCAUGGGAAUAAUAAGAUAGGACUUUGGUACUAUUUUGUUGGUUUGCGCACCAAAGUAAUGAUUAAUAGGGACAGUUGGGGUAUUCGUAUUCCGUUGUCAGAGGUGAAAUUCUUGGAUUUUACGGAAGACGAACUACUGCGAAAGCAUUUUACCAAGGAUGUUUUUCAUUAAUCAAGAACGAAAGUUAGGGGAUCGAAGAUGAUCAGAUACCAUCGUAGUCUUAACCAUAAACUAUGCCGACUCGGGAUUGGCGGGC